rnacentral:rRNA from 1 species
GAUGAACGCUGGCGGCGUGCUUAACACAUGCAAGUCGAACGGAGUGGCGAACGGGUGAGUAACACGUGGGUGACCUGCCCUGCACUUCGGGAUAAGCCUGGGAAACUGGGUCUAAUACCGGAUAGUGUGGGAUGGGCCCGGGGCCUAUCAGCUUGUUGGUGGGGGGAUGGCCUACUAAGGGGGUGACGGGUAGCCGGCCUGGGAGGGUGACUGGCCACAGUGGGACGGAGAUGCGGACCAGAGUCCUACGGGAGGCAGCAGUGGGGGAUAUUGCACAAUGGACGAAAGGCUGAUGCAGCGAUGCCGCGUGGGGGAUGAAGGCUUUCGGGUUGUAAACCUCUUUCGCUAUCGAACGGGUAGGUGGAGAAGAAGCGCCGGCUAACUACGUGCCAGACGCCGCGGUAAUUC